rnacentral:lncRNA from 1 species
CCUGUGUUCCAAGUGCCUGGUGCCUGGCAAACACUCAAAAUGACUUUGCUGGAGAAUGAAGCGGGCUGGAGAAUGAAGGAGCUGUGCCUAAAGGUUUCCAGGACAGCACAUUGACGCAGCCUUGUGGCCGCAUCGGAGGGUUCCACACCACAUGACUUACAGGGCAGACGAGAGAGCAGCUCAGAAGCAGGCCCAGGUGGGCAGCCAGGAGGCAUGUGCUCCAGAAAUACCUGCAGGAUGACCGGCCUUCCUGAAUGAUGGUGAACACUAGGGAAGUGACCUGAAACCCAGGCAAGCACAUUGUGCUGCUGUCAGGAAGCGACCCAACAGAACACCGUUUGAUUUUGGAAUCGUUUUCCCAAACAGCUGUCCUCUGCUCUCCUAGAACACAUGCCGUCCUCACGUCUCUAAAGACUCACUUCCUCGCCUGGAGCCUGCUCACUCAGGGAAAGCAUACCGGUUUUUUUCUGUGUCAUGGAAGGAAGAUUGCUUCUUCCCCUUCCCUCUCACUUGCCAUGUGACCUAGGGGAAACGACUUUCCCUUUCUGGGUCCUGUUUCCUUGUCAGAAAAAAUAUAUUGUGCUGGAUGGUCUCUCAGGUACCCCUUAAUUCUUAAUCUGUGAGUCUAUGUAUCUUU